CUAGUAGAGGUAACUGGCCUGUGACGAGGAAAGGCAUGCUUUGUAGUACAGUGUGUAGGUUGGAUAUUAAUUAGGUUACUACGAUAGGCUGCUUUGGCAGACUUAUUACGAUUUAAAACCACCUCUAGCCGAUGAGGGGAAGGAAAGCGAUAUUCUUUGAUAGGUUGGGUUGUGAUUCGAACAGGAAUUGGGAUAUUUAUUAAAUUAUGUCUCCCUAUAACUACUUUCUCGGUUGGAAUAUUUAUAAAAUUUUGUCUCCCCACAUGAUAGCCUAUGCGAGGUGUCAUUUGCACCGGAAUUUUGUUCUGUUCUCUGAUAGUUAGGGUGGGUAUUGG